rnacentral:rRNA from 1 species
ACACAUGCAAGUCGAACGGCAGCGCGGGGGCAACCCUGGCGGCGAGUGGCGAACGGGUGAGUAAUGCAUCGGAACGUAUCCUGUAAUGGGGGAUAACGUAGCGAAAGUUACGCUAAUACCGCAUACGCUCGAGAGAGGAAAGUGGGGGGAUCGCAAGACCUCACGUUAUAGGAGCGGCCGAUGUCCGAUUAGCUAGUUGGUGGGGUAAAGGCCUACCAAGGCGACGAUCGGUAGCUGGUCUGAGAGGAUGAUCAGCCACACUGGGACUGAGACACGGCCCAGACUCCUACGGGAGGCAGCAGUGGGGAAUUUUGGACAAUGGGCGCAAGCCUGAUCCAGCCAUGCCGCGUGCGGGAAGAAGGCCUUCGGGUUGUAAAGCUCUUUCAGCAGGAACGAAACGGUGGCCACUAAUACUGGCUACUAAUGACGGUACCUGAAGAAGAAGCACCGGCUAACUACGUG